AAGCUUUUUUUAUGCCCCACCUACGAUAGUAGAGGGGCAUUAUGUUUUCUGGUCUGUGCGUCCGUCCGUCCGUUCGUUCGUCCGUCCGUCUGUCCGUUCGUUCGUCCGUCCGUCUGUCCCGCUUCAGGUUAAAGUUUUUGGUCAAGGUAGUUUUUGAUGAAGUUUAAGUCCAAUCGACUUCAAACUUAGUACACAUGUCCCC
rnacentral:lncRNA from 1 species